rnacentral:rRNA from 1 species
GUGGCGAACGGGUGAGUAACACGUGGGCAAUCUGCCCUUCACUCUGGGACAAGCCCUGGAAACGGGGUCUAAUACCGGAUAAUACUCUGUUCCGCAUGGGACGGGGUUGAAAGCUCCGGCGGUGAAGGAUGAGCCCGCGGCCUAUCAGCUUGUUGGUGGGGUAAUGGCCUACCAAGGCGACGACGGGUAGCCGGCCUGAGAGGGCGACCGGCCACACUGGGACUGAGACACGGCCCAGACUCCUACGGGAGGCAGCAGUGGGGAAUAUUGCACAAUGGGCGAAAGCCUGAUGCAGCGACGCCGCGUGAGGGAUGACGGCCUUCGGGUUGUAAACCUCUUUCAGCAGGGAAGAAGCGAGAGUGACGGUACCUGCAGAAGAAGCGCCGGCUAACUACGUGCCAGCAGCCGCGGUAAUACGUAGGGCGCAAGCGUUGUCCGGAAUUAUUGGGCGUAAAGAGCUCGUAGGCGGCUUGUCACGUCGGAUGUGAAAGCCCGGGGCUUAACCCCGGGUCUGCAUUCGAUACGGGCUAGCUAGAGUGUGGUAGGGGAGAUCGGAAUUCCUGGUGUAGCGGUGAAAUGCGCAGAUAUCAGGAGGAACACCGGUGGCGAAGGCGGAUCUCUGGGCCAUUACUGACGCUGAGGAGCGAAAGCGUGGGGAGCGAACAGGAUUAGAUACCCUGGUAGUCCACGCCGUAAACGUUGGGAACUAGGUGUUGGCGACAUUCCACGUCGUCGGUGCCGCAGCUAACGCA